UCUUAACUUACCUAUAAAUUAUUAGAUGUACGCCAGCGUACGUCAGCAUUUUUAAUAUGGUCGACAUACGCUGGCUAAAUCGUCGGGGUGUGGCAGUCCAGUUAGAUCAUCUGU